rnacentral:hammerhead_ribozyme from 1 species
GUCCAUCUGACGAGUCUCAAAUAGGAUGAAACGCGCGUCCUGGAU